rnacentral:rRNA from 1 species
GAUGAACGCUGGCGGCAGGCCUAACACAUGCAAGUCGAGGGGGAAGGCCUUUCGGGGGCAGAAACCGGCGCUCGGGUGCGUAACGCGUAUGCAACCUACCUUUCACAGGGGGAUAGCCGGAAGAAAUUUGGAUUAAUACCCACUAGUAUUAUUUGAUGGCAUCAUUUGAUAUUUAAAACUGAGGUGGUGAAGGAUGGGCAUGCGUCCUAUUAGCUAGUUGGGUUGGUAACGGCACCCCAAGGCUACGAUAGGUAGGGGUCCUGAGAGGGGGAUCCCCCACACUGGUACUGGGACAGGGACCAGACUCCUACGGGAGGCAGCAGUGAGGAAUAUUGGGCAAUGGUCGGAAGACUGAACCAGCCAGGCCGCGUGCAGGAAGAAUGCCUUAUGGGUUGUAAACUGCUUUUAUAUGGGAAGAAUAAGGCGUACGUGUACGUUGAUGACGGUACCAUAUGAAUAAGCAUCGGCUAACUCCGUG